rnacentral:rRNA from 1 species
GUGGGGAAUUUUGGACAAUGGGCGCAAGCCUGAUCCAGCAAUGCCGCGUGCAGGAAGAAGGCCUUCGGGUUGUAAACUGCUUUUGUACGGAACGAAACGGUCCGGGUUAAUACCCUGGGCUAAUGACGGUACCGUAAGAAUAAGCACCGGCUAACUACGUGCCAGCAGCCGCGGUAAUACGUAGGGUGCAAGCGUUAAUCGGAAUUACUGGGCGUAAAGCGUGCGCAGGCGGUUUUGUAAGACAGGCGUGAAAUCCCCGGGCUCAACCUGGGAAUUGCGCUUGUGACUGCAAGGCUGGAGUGCGGCAGAGGGGGAUGGAAUUCCGCGUGUAGCAAUGAAAUGCGUAGAUAUGCGGAGGAACACCGAUGGCGAAGGCAAUCCCCUGGGCCUGCACUGACGCUCAUGCACGAAAGCGUGGGGAGCAAACAGGAUUAGAAACCCUUGUAGUCC